AGGCGGGAGGAGGCGGGCGGAGGAGGCCGAAGGGCUGGAGGAGGGGGCCACAGCCGCGGACUUUCUCCCUCCCCCUCGUGCGUCGGCGGGAUUGUUGGGGCGCUGGGUCCCGGCCCCCGGAUUGUGAUGUUUCAGGUGGCGGUGGGCCGGGGGACGCAGCCCGGGCCCCAGGACCUGGUCCCCAGGUCUGGUCCUGCCCCCAGCACCUCGCUCCCGUCGCGGACCCCGUGGGCCAUGAGAAUGGUAGAUGCUGAGACACAAGACUCCAAGAGCCAGCACAAGGAUGGAGGCUUGUGACACAGCGCGGUGGACAGGAGUGGAGGGGCCAGUCCUGCUUUGGCUCCUUUGAGCCGUGCGGCCUCAGCUGUAUUCCUAACCUCAUUGCUGCCAUGGUACAGUGGGGUCUCCAGACUCCACCUGGUUGGAUUGUGUGAGGACAGAGACCAGCAUAUGGAGAACCCAGGCUUUGGCCAAAGCCAGAUCAUUUCCACAGCACGAGAUGAACCACAUUUGGAAGAAGAACUGCUCCUGAACUUGGAGAACUAAAAACAAAACAAAAAAAUUUCUAAGAGUCUUAAAGGCACAGCAAGUUUGUAAAUUGGGUGACACCUCCGCCCUCAAGGAAGCCACAGUUAUUCAUGAGUAGCAGACCUCGACUUCAGCACACAUGGAAAUGGUUUGCAUGCCGACAUCGCCGGCCAGGUGGGUGACACCAGAUGGUCACCGUGACCAACAGCAGGAGCACACAGCCUGGAUCACCCAUCUUGAAGACACCCCAGGAACCCAUAAAUAAACCAGCUUUGGAUCAUAAGGUCGCUCUCUCUCUGGAGGGCCCAUGCUCUGUUUCUUUGAACCGUGGGACUGGCUUUGGCCAAGGGACAGCAGCGAAGGUCACGCGCACAUGGGCUUGGCGAGCACUUGUGCACGUGGACUUCUGUCUGCUUUUGUGGCACGUGGGGCUCUGAGGCCAAGAUGUGAAGAGUCCAGCAGAGGCUGAUGGAGAGGCCACCUGGAAGUGUUCCCAGCAGCCGCGCACCAGCUGCCACACAUGGGAGGUGCAGGAGACAGUCCCGCCCGGCACCAGGGCUGCAUGAGCUGGUGUCUUCCUCCCCACAGCAUCAGCGCAUCUUGGAAGGAAGCACCUUCCGGCUCAGACAGGCAGCCACAAACAUCGGUUCCUACCCUGCUCCAACUGCAGGGCUGUUGGCCUGGGGCAUCAUUCACAGACCCUGCCGAGCCUGCCCUUUCCCGCAUGACUCAGUCCCACUGGGUUCUGUCACUUGCAUUCCCUCAACUCUGGC
ensembl:lncRNA